GACGAACGCUGGCGGCGUGCCUAAUACAUGCAAGUAGAACGCACAGUUUAUACCGUAGCUUGCUACACCAUAGACUGUGAGUUGCGAACGGGUGAGUAACGCGUAGGUAACCUGCCUGGUAGCGGGGGAUAACUAUUGGAAACGAUAGCUAAUACCGCAUAAUAUUGAUUAUUGCAUGAUAAUUGAUUGAAAGAUGCUAUUGCAUUACUACCAGAUGGACCUGCGUUGUAUUAGCUAGUAGGUGAGGUAACGGCUCACCUAGGCGACGAUACAUAGCCGACCUGAGAGGGUGAUCGGCCACACUGGGACUGAGACACGGCCCAGACUCCUACGGGAGGCAGCAGUAGGGAAUCUUCGGCAAUGGACGAAAGUCUGACCGAGCAACGCCGCGUGAGUGAAGAAGGUUUUCGGAUCGUAAAGCUCUGUUGUAAGAGAAGAACGGGUGUGAGAGUGGAAAGUUCACACUGUGACGGUAUCUUACCAGAAAGGGACGGCUAACUACGUG
rnacentral:rRNA from 1 species